GGGUCACAGGAAGGGAAUUGCCAUGUUUGUAUCCCAGGUUAGUCAUUAAUGAAAUUUCAUCAUGGAAUUUUCUGCAAACCUUAAUAAAUACAGACUCUCCACUGAUAUUUCAAACAUUCUUCUUCAGAGCCCAGAAAAAACACAACUCCAGCAAUCUUCCAUCAGCCAUGAGGUUCCUCUUUCUUUUCUUUGCUGUCUUCUUAUUCUGCUUUCAAACAGUUCAAGGAGAUGAUUCAGCAGAUACCAUAGCAUGCAGACGGGGUGGAGGUUUCUGUACUCCUCAGCCAUGUCCAGCACAUUCUGAGCUUACUGGAGGAACAUGUGUGGAUGGAAUGCUGACCUGCUGUAAAUGGCCUCAGAGAGAGAGUCGCUCAGAUUGAUUCAGUAACAAUAAACAACAAAAGACCCCUGGGAUGAUGAAGAAAGCCUACCUAUUUCUGAAACUGAUACCAACCUCCAACUGCUGAAUAAAGAAUACAUCAUAUUAUGGAGUGUGAAAAAAGUACCAGGGAAAAUUUGGACUCCAUCUGCAUUCAGUCUGUGGAAUAAAAUGAAAGUGUAGUAAAAUCAUAAAACUUGGCCCCACAAUACAUAUGCAGAAUAUGCUGAAAUAAAAAACUGAUUCCAGUUUCCAA